rnacentral:rRNA from 1 species
GACGAACGCUGGCGGCGUGCUUAACACAUGCAAGUCGAACGAAGUGGCGCACGGGUGAGUAACGCGUAAUCAACCUGCCCUUCAGAGGGGGACAACAGUUGGAACCGACUGCUCAUACCGCAUACUGAAGGAGGGGAUUGCGUCUGAUUAGCUAGUUGGAGGGGUAACGGCCCACCAAGGCGAUGAUCAGUAGCCGGGCUGAGAGGAUGAACGGCCACAUUGGGACUGAGACACGGGCCAGACUCCUACGGGAGGCAGCAGUGGGGAAUCUUCCGCAAUGGACGAAAGGCCGACGGAGCAAAGCCGCGGGAGGGAUGACGGCCUUCGGGUUGUAAAGCUAUGUUAAUCGGGACGCGGUACCGGAAGAGAAAGCCACGGCUAACUACGUGCCAGCAGCCGCGGUAAUUC